UCCUCAUCACGAGCGGCAGAGGGAACGGCCCUGUGAAGCCGCGGCAACCGGCGGAGACCCGCUGCGGUGCCAAAUCCGGCCCGGCGAGGGAAAGAUGAGAG
rfam:Chloroflexi bacterium GWC2_70_10 gwc2_scaffold_12286, whole genome shotgun sequence.